AGCGGGGUAGGGUAGCCAGGCCGAUCCCGCCGGGCUCAUAACCCGGAGAUCCGAAGUUCAAAUCUUCGCCCCGCUACCA
rnacentral:tRNA from 2 species